rnacentral:snRNA from 1 species
GGCCAUGUGCAGUGGCAGUAUCAUAAUCUGUGAGGUUACACUGAGGUAUGAUUAUCGUUAAUUGAAAACUUUAGCUGAGGUUCUCAACUGCGACACUCUCAAGGACGAUGUACUUUUGCCCACAUACUGACCUG